GACAUGGUCGCUUAUUUUUCAUAAAACUCAUACCGAAGGACAAUUUGGACUUUUCGUGAUCUCUGCCACGUGUCUUUCAAUCCAAACUUCAACAGCCAGCACAGCAGUAUCUUUAUAUAUAUAAUUUUGUUUAUGUGAGAUAUCUUAGACUUUGGAUAAUAUUUUUUUAUGCCAAGUAUUGACAGUUAAUAACCACCACAUCAAUCUCAAUUGUACCUUUAUCUUUACAUUUGCCGUCGUCGUGGCAUGUUUAUCCGAGAGAUGAAGUUGCAUGCCAGCGGUUUUUGAUUCGGAUUCAAACAGGAUAUGCAUGGUUGCUUUGUGUCUGGUCUCAGUUUUCAAUUCUGACUUAUUCUAUUUGAAGUGAUCAAGUUCGAAAAUUCAUAUGGUGAUAAUUUCGGUGCACUUUAUGUGUUGCACGUUUCAUCCUUCAUGGGAUUUGUUGACACCAUGGAAGCUAAGAUGUAGUGGGAUGUUGUUUCUUUCCUGUCUUGUAGAAAGGAUCAUGGCAAGGCUUUAUGGUAAGUGAUAAUGAAGAGAAGAAGUUGAUGUUCAGUGUGAAUAGGACUAAAAAUACAUUUACUAAACUAGAGUUUUGACAUAUUCCUUGGUGAUGGACAUGGUGAAGGCACAGAGGCUGAUAUUAAGAUGAAAAGUUCCGCCUUGAAGAGAUCGAUCCUGCACCAUCUAUAAAUGCAAUUCCAUAGUAGCUCAGUAUUGCAAGAUGUCAGUAGUUGAUGAAAACUGUGUCACAUAUUAUUAUUGUUAUUAUCAGCAUCAUCAUUCCUCCCGAUUGGCAGGACCAUAAGUUUUGCAUUGGGGAAAAAGACAUGGAAGAUUUGUGUCAAUUUUUAGGUGGGUGUUCUUGAUAAAGUAGUAUUGAAUAAUUGAUUCUGCACUUGCAGGUGUCUUGGAUCACACUUAAUUCUGUAACUUUAUUAGUUGCCCAUUUUCUUGUGGAGUACGCUUUGCCUUUUCCAUCUA